AGAUCUUCUGUCAUGAUAUCAGUGUGCAUAUUCCUCAUCAUAUCUCUCCUAAAAUUCUAAGUCACGCACACAAUCAAAAUAUCUACAACUAUGGCGAAACCAAGAAACACAAGCAGAUCCACAGUCACUUUAAUCUGGUCUUCUCAUCUGUGCUUUUCGGAGUUACAAGAGACUAGGUGGACAAUCUAAGGGAACUAAAUUAACAUGGAUUCCAGCACAGUGUGCUCAACAACCGGGAUCACUAGAUUGUGGCUACUACGUCAUGCGUUUUAUGUACGACAUAAUAAUGAAUCAUGGUAAUAGUCAAGAUCUUACUAAGGAUUUUUCAAGAACAUUGCCUUAUUCACCGGAGGAGAUUAAUGAGGUGAAAGAUUUUUGGGCAGAUUACUUCAUGAACAAUGUCGAAUUUUUAGCUUAAUUUUUAAUAUGAACUUGAUCUCUAGCUAGCUACGUACCUUUGUUGUAAUAAUUUUAUGUUUGUUGUAACAUGUUGGUUGAUCUAUGAGGAAUUUAAUUGCCUUUUA